CAUACUUUAGGAAGCGUUUUGAACUGCAUUUAUGAAAGAUGCUAUACAUAAAUUUACUUGUGUCCCAAUGCCAUUCAUACAUCAACCCCUAAUUAUAUUCAUGUUUUUAUCAAAUUCUCUUUAAUUAAAAUACCCAUCUAUGAGCUAAAUACUAAUAAAUACACGUUACCCAUGACCCGUUGUCAGGAUAUAGCAGCGUCAUUGUCAGUAAAGCAUGAGCUGUUUAAUUUAUGUUUGUAGGCGACACAAAGCUUUUCUCGCAGGAGCACGUCAACCAACUCAUAGCAUGCGUUGUUCUUAGAAUGCUCCUUUGUUCUCUCCUACGAGAUUCUAAAUUUACCCACCAGAGACAAAAGGUAGCGUGCUAAUUAACUGCAUGUCACUCCUGCCGAGGCCCUGAAAUGCGAGACAGCCUUCUGCCCAUUGUUGUGUCCAGUUUAAAGCAGUGGCGGGGUGACAUCACUUGGUGAUGUCAGGUUCAGAGGGAGGAACUGGACCGAAGGGACCCUGUGAUUGGUCACAUCAUGUGGCACCUGGGAAGACAAAAGGUAUAAGGGAUGAAUGCUCGGUCAAGCCAGGCAAAAUUUUGCACAUAAUUCAGCAGCAUCCCUUGAACGCCCUGAACUGAGUUGGUUACCAUGGCAACUGUUGUACCGUGUGCGUCCUGCUAUGGCAGCAGCGUUCAGCUCUUUGGGAAGGGGCCUGAUGGUGUUUACAUGUCCCUUUUCAGUUACAGAAGGCCCAGAGGGGCCCCUCGCCCACGUCUGGCCUGCCAUGCUCCGACGAUGACACUGCGUCAGAUUUGUCGCAUGUUGCGUAUAAUGCGCCAGCUGCGUAAUAAAGAGGCAGCAGCUGCAGCUGCAGCAGCCAGAAAACAGGCUUCUCCUCCCAGCUCACCAAUGAUCAAAUCAGAAAAGCGUUGCUUACCUGCCUGCUUUCGGCGCAGACGAAGUAACAAUAUCAAAAAAGUGAGUUAAGCAUCCAGCAUCCCCAAAACCUCCCAACAACUUCAGCCCUGUGGGAGUUUACAAACUAAUGGAGCCAGUCCUUACUCUACACAGAAGAGUUAAAGUGAGGGACCAAGACAUCGCUCUACAAUCUUGUUGAAUUCUUUUGUUGGGAGGAUUUAACAUGCAACAAAUUUGGUUUGAAUAGGAAAGAAGCAGAUCUUUAGAUGCCCUGAGUGCUGGAACUCUGUCUUACUGCUCAAAAUGAGGCAGAGGAGGUUUUUUUUUUUUUUUUUUUUUACAUGAUUAUUUUUUUCUUUGACUAGUUUGGACUCAGUGAACUCAAAUUGUGAAAUUCCAGUAGGGUCAAACAGUUUCGUGUGCUUCUAUCUGUAAUUAAACCAGUGGAAAGUCCUCAUCAGGUUGGAAAUACGACACAGCUAUUUGUUUGUUUAUUUAUUCAUCUGUUUGUUUGUUUCUGUGUGGGACGGGGGGCCCAAGGUUCUCUAUCUCUCAAAUAGGUGUGAUGGAAACUUAGCUACCGGUGUGCGUUACCGUGUUGAAACUAAAACGUCUACACUGUGUGUGACAACAUUGUGAAUUUACUGAUUUCCUAUUUAUCUGCAUUUGAAUAACCUUUCAAUAAAAACACCUAUGACUUCA
ensembl:lncRNA